AUGGCGUUAGCAGCUAACACCCAUGGAAGAGUCUGCACCCUCUCCUCCAGGCCAUCCACACCUUUCAGCAGGAGCACGACCACCAUGCCUGGACACAAUGUUCAGUCGUCACGAGCCCAGUUCACCGUCCGAGCCAUCGCGGAGCGCGCGACAUGGCUGUCUGGGCUGGACCUACCGGCGUACCUCAACGGCACGCUGCCUGGCGAUUACGGGUUUGAUCGCUUGGGGCUCGGGGAGCAGCCUGAGGACUUGAAGUGGUACGUCCAGGCCGAGCUCGUCCACUGCCGGUUUGCCAUGGCAGGGGUCGCUGGCAUCCUUGGAACCGAUCUGAUCCGUGUAUCAGGGAUCAGCAACCUACCAGUGUGGUUUGAAGCAGGCGCCGUGAAAUUUGACUUUGCCAACACCACAGCACUCUUCUUUGUCCAGCUUCUCUUGAUGGGUUCGAGUCCCAUAUACUCA
rnacentral:rRNA from 1 species